AGCCUUCUUACAUAGUCACCCCAAAAUUGGGGGACUACAUACCGCAUCGUUGUUUAACGAUUCUCUGCGCUUCCUCCUCUCUGCUUCCUCUCUACUUCCUCACUGCUUCGACUCUCUGCUUUGACUCUCUCUGCUCUCUCUUCUACUGGACAGAUAUGGAUGAAGCCAAAUUUUCUUGGUCUUAUUGCUGGAGUUGUGGCACCUAGAGACCAUGUGUGCUUGUACUAUGCUUGCGCUAUUGAUGUUUAAGUUGAGAAGAAGACGUGUUGAAAGACAUGCCCUGAAUAAUCGUUCAUUCGUUAGACAUCAAACUCUGUGUUCAUGUCCUUAGAUGAUGAUGUGAGGCCAGUGUAUGUCCAAAAUCUUCUUACUGUUGCUGCUAGGGGAUCUACCUAGCUUCUUGGUUUAUAUGCUUCUUGGGGGAUUUGCAGUCACUAGCUUCUUGGUUUAUAUGCUUUUUGGGAGAUUUGCAGUCACAUGUUGGAGAAACCACCACAAAGUUAGAUGAACUCAUUUUGUAAUUACUAGAUUAGCAUUCACAUUUUCAUAAUUUGUUGUGUUGUGCAAUGCUAAAUUAGAGUUCAAAUUUCUUUGUUGUAUUUAUUGGUGAACUUGCCAAUGUGUAUAAACUAUAUUGUGACUGUUAUUUUCAUUGUAAACUUAUUAAUCUAUGAACUUUAUUCUUGGUUUAUGAAAUUGAGAAAUGUACUUCAAUGAUC